GGACUGGUAGCUCAGAGGUAGAGGUAAGAUUUCAACUCCUUACAAAACAUUCUAAAUUAAAUACUAACAACUUUAAUAGCAGCGGACUGCAGUUCCGAAGGUCGCUGGUUCGAUUCCGGCCCAGUCCU